AAGCUUUAAACAGGAACCCAAUUAUAAAUUCUCAACCAGAUUUAUUCAUCUAAAGAACGGAUGUCGUGACGAAUGAAAUGUACUAAGUGUUUUUAGACAAUGAAUAUUUAACAAGUAGCAUUCAAUUGAAUACCCAAUUAGUUUGACAAGAUUUACAAUAGAAUAAAAAAAAGAAAACAAUAAACAACAACAAUGUAUAACACUUGUAUUGUUCUCAUAAAUCUCUUCAAAGUGCUUGAAAAAUUUUAUAUAUUCACUCUGGUCAAUAUAUUGAUUGGUUAAGAAAUUGUUUGCUACAAUGUUACAUUGAUACGAUAUCGAAUUCCUCUAACUGGGAGAUAUUUAUCCAAGUAAAGUGGACUGCCUAAUAGACGAUGAGGUAGGAUGGUUCGAACCGACAAACGUUUACCAAUGUGAAGAUAAUGCUAAAUGUUGUAAAGAGUAUGGAAAUCCUUCAUGUUGCGCGGAGAAAGAUAAAUCGGCGAUUGAGAGACCAAGCUAUAUUAUGGGGUGGACUACUUGGAUUUUUGACGGUAUUAGGCAUGAUAGUUUUCUGCAGAAGAUCCGACUUCUACGUUAUGGAAAGCAACAUCGGUAGUAAAUUGAAAUGCUGCGGCAAAUC